GCUGGCGUAGCUCAAUGGUAGAGCAACUGAUUUGUAAUCAGUAGGUUGCUGGUUCAAGUCCAGUCGCCAGCU
rnacentral:tRNA from 1 species